CUCAGUGCUCAGCAGCCUGGGCUCCGCAGGCAGGUUUCCACUCAGAGCUGAUCAGGGAACAGCGGCGGCCGCGGGUGAUUUACCUCAGCGCUUCAGCCCUGUUUUAGAGAUUUACCUAAGCUGAUAUUGAUGGGAUUUCUAUGGAACGGCCUUUGAUUUUCUCCACUUGGGAUCCAUAAGAUAAAACCUGCAAUUUGACCUUCCUGACAUUUUGAGGAAGUGACAUUAUCAAAGUCUCUGCAUGACCACCACGGGGCUUGAAUUAAGGGUCUAGUCAUCGUCGCCGCCCCCGUACAUGUCGGCGAGCUUCUUGAAGCGUGGGCCCCAGUCGUUGAGGUAGUCGUAGUCCUGCUCUCCGCUGCUGGAGGAGUUGAGGGAGCUGACUGAUCCGGCCGUGGAUCCGCUGCCCUCGUAAUCGAACACCAGCAGAGAGUCAUAGGGGGGCGCUGUCGGGUCGUUAUCUGCCGCCCGGAGGCCCUGUAAAGAUAAACAGGAUGGGGUAUCACUGCUCGAAGUGGGUACUGAGACUCCGGGACCACUGGCCUCUCGUCCACUCGCCGGACCCCCGGGGGCUUAGUCAUGAUGUGCUCCAGAGAGUCGGGCUGCUGCAGCUGGCUCAGGUCAUAGUCCUGCAGAUAAAAACACAGAUACACUAAAGAUACACCCUCUAAACACCAAACCUGUAAAUACAUAAGUGUAGAAGUGUGUCUAUGUAGGCAUGUAACCCAUUUACACUUAGAUGGGACUUUUGCAUAAGACAAUGUCCAUGUGAGUUUGUGUUUGCUGGAGUAUAAUGAUGGUGUUUAGUGGAGAAUGUGUUUGCUAGAGUAUAAUGAUGGUGUUUAGUGGAGAAUGUGUUUGCUGGAGUAUAAUGAUGGUGUUUAGUGGAGAAUAUGUUUGGAGUAUAAUGAUGGUGUUCACUAGAUGAUGAUUGUGUUUGCUGGAAUAUAAUGGUGUUUUGAGUGGGGGAUUUAUAAUAUUUGAGUGAUGGCAUUUGUUGAAAUAUGAUCAGGUUUAUUAGCGAAUGAUCGUGUUUAGGAAAAUAAAUAUCUAUGUUUUUUGCUGGAGAUUUUUUUUAAUAUAUAUAGAAUGUUGCCUUUCAAGCACACAUGGUUUUAAGAUUUCAUUAAUUCCAGGCAGAAUUGUUUGAUUCGUUAAUUUGCAAUAUGGUUGAAUUUAUUUUGUGGUGAACAGUUGGAAUCUGAGCUCCAUUCACCUGGUCCUCCUCUCCUCCACCUUCCUCAUCGUAUUUCAGGAUGUUGUCUCUGACGUCGUCCUCGGGGUCUAUCAGCAGCUGCUUGGUCUGCCUUUCCUUCUCUCGUCUUUUCAUCCACACCACGAACAGCAGAACCAUGCCUGUAGCACAAACACACACAGUCAGUGUAAGAGAAAUUAAAUACUCAGCUCUCUAAGAACCGCUUUGCUUACAUGAAUCAUCCAAUGCGUUUAGUCUACACUUCCUGUCUCUUCUUAUAAAAUCACUCAAAUCUUUUUAAAUCUGCUUUUAUUUGUCUUUGAUUUUCUGCAACCUUGUUGAAGUACUCCCUCUCAGCUAACAUCACUGUUUGACAUCGUCUUGUACCGUCAACUGUUUUAAUGCUUUGUACUUGUUUUGCGUUUGUACUGUUUUAUUUAUAAUCUGAUGUAUUCUGCGAUGAUUGCUCUAUUUACACACAUCUUGUUUUUUUUUAUCCUUUCCGCCUCAAUUACUUUGUAGCACUUUGAGUUUGAGAAAAGCGUGUUAUCACUCACCUUUAUGCUAUUAUUAAAACUACAGAGAGCAGCCAACCGUCUCCAAUUAAUAUAUCUUAGCAAACACAAACAAUACCCUGCUGUGUAAUACCGUACCUGUGUGUGGGUAUUUAUUUCUAUUAUGUUCUACUACAUAUAUUAUUUCACAUGUUCAGAGUGAGAAAAAGUUUGUGUUUACUGAAGGAUUAUGGUGUUAAAGAAAGAUGAUGUGUACUGAUUGGUCUUUAUUCAAGUGUUGGAGAAUGUUGGUAGUUCUUGGGCAGUGAUAGUAUUUGUUGGAGUAUAUUGAGUGAAGAAUGAUUGAGAAUUGAAGAGACUGUUUGUAUUUAUGAGCUGGGAAAAUGCUAGUGUUUGGUACAGAAUGAUGUUUAGGGGUGGCAAUUCGGUCUGCACAAUUAAUCAUUUCAGCAUCACAAUGUAUACAUGCGUAAUAGUCCUGUGCAAUGACAUUUGUCUUAUUUGCAUUUUUUAAAAGGCUUUUUUGCAGCUUAAAACAAAAACAUUUAAACUGGUUAUAUUUUACAUUACUUUAUCCAUCAGAUUACAGAUGGUAUUUACCCAACACUAUUAAUAUUAUUCCAAUCCAUGAUACACAGGUUGCACUAAUAAUGUCAACAUGUUGGAUUUUUGACUUCGCGAGAUUUGGUGUUAAUUCAUGUAUCUCAUAAUAUGAUAUUUAUAUGGUAACAAGGUUUCUGUUAUACUCUAUAUAGCUAAACAAUUCUCUGUGUUACUGAAGAGGAUAAAAUACUCCUAACUAAGCAAAUACUAGGGAUUAUUGGUGGAAUUAGUUUACAGAAUUUGACAACCAAUAAUAUUAAUCUCCUUAAUAGUCUUACUUAGUUUAGGCCGUCUAUGUUUCAAUAAAAUUAUCCAUAUUUGAUGCUGCAUAUAGAUAAUAUAUGCAAACAAAAUGAUGAAAUACCGACAAUGUGAUAUUUUGUCCCAAAUCUAAUGAUCUUUAGUAAAAAGUAAUGCUGUUUAUUUAGAAAUGGACUUUUUUAAGACAGUAAUGGUGUUGGUUGGUUUUUUGGAUAAUGAUAGUGUUUGGUGGUGAUGUAUCUGGAUGAAAGGAUUUUUUUUUUUUAAGAAUGAUGGUCUUUGGUUCUUUUUCUGGAGCAUUCUACUCACAGGCAAUCACUAGGAUGAUGUACUUUGCUGAACUUUGGGUUGGUGUGCUCAAACUUAACUUUUGUUAUAGAUCGUGAAAUACUCUGUCCAUCUGUCUGCCAGCUCCAGAUCCACAGCUGAUUACAAAUCCCCAUACGGUGUUCCUGCCAAGACACAGAUCCACUCUGCCAUGCAGAAAAUCUUCCCUUACAAGACAACAUGUUCUUGCUAGUGUUGGGUAAAUGUUUUAUAGAUAUAGCUGGGAGAGCAACUCUCCGUCUCCACAGAGGAGGCUUCUCCACACUGCCUGUGAAACCUUUCAAUAUUACAUGCCACGAGCUGAAGCGUGUGCUGCCUCAACGUUGUUUGGAGAAGCACAUUUUUAGCCACAAGCUGAAAGUAAAUGUGAGAGAGACAGAGAAAGGGAGAGAGAGAACGGAUGAAAGUGAACUGAAUGUGAGAACGGGCUCUAGAUAGGUUAUUAUACGGUUAUUGAAAUUAUUAGCCACAGGUGAAAAAGUCUACUAUUCAGACAGACAUCUUACUGCAUCGUUAAACUGAACCUAAGAAGUUUCUCUGUCUUUCUCCAGGUCAUACUUCGGUUAUGGGCAGGGACUAGUGAUCCGCACUUUAGCCUCUGGCUUUAUGGUUUGAGGCUGUGUAGUCUGGGGAACGUGGAGGUAUACCCUGUGUUUGAAGUAGGCUGAUGUGUGUGCAUGAAAGAGCGACGGCUGGAUUUAGGCUUGUCAAAAGUGCCCCACAGUUUGCAGACUUGAAAUAAUGGCACCUUUCUACCCAGGUCCAUCGUAAAGUCGCAAAUUUUGUGGACCUGCAGGCCAUUUCCCAAAGCUUUAUCUGUGAGCCCUUCAACACUCCCUGCCUUAUUAGGCCAAACCUGUCAGAAAUAGAAUGAGCUCUUCUGGAGUUUUAGUAGACACUAUAUUUUUCUGAAACCGCUUCACCUAGUAUUCGCUCCUUUUACUUUUGUACUUUUUAAAGUGCUACCUCUUUUUUUGUAUCUGUAUGUUAGACAUGUUAAACAUGUAUACUUGUUAUUUACAUCUAAACGUUUGUCUCCAAGCAGUGAAUAUGGGUGAGUCUUUGAUUUUGGGAAAUUUUAUGAUUUAUAAAUAAAAUUCAUGGUAGAAAUACUUUAUUCUACCGAACACUAUUAAUGUUAUUCCAAUCAUUAAAACACAGACUGCAUUACUUAAUUUGGUGUUGAUUCCUGUAUCUCAAAAUAUUGUGCAACCCUAGUGGGAAUUACAGGGUCACAUGAUACAGUACUAUUUAUACUGUAACAAUAAUUCUGCGGUACUACUUACAUCUUUUAUAUUUUAAGUCCUAUUAAUUUUUUGUAACUGUGCAUUAUAUAAUGUAUACCUUUUUAAGUACAUCUAAACAUGCAUCUCCAUACAGUGAAUAUAGUUGUGCAUUGGUGAGUCUUCAAUUUUGUUCAAUAUUCUGUCCAAAGGUUUAAACUCCUGUUAAAAAUACUCCAUUGAAGUUAUUUCUAUAUCGUCGCUGUCCAAUGAAAAACACUUAUCUCAAUUUUUGUUGAUUUUUAGUUUACUGCAUAAUUUAAACAGACAAACUGUCCCUCACACUGUGCCAAAAUUUCUUGAUGAACGGACCAAUAGAAACUCUUCAAAAUGACCUGAAAUAAACUCUUUUUACAUUAACUUUCAUUGGACAGCGACGAUAUGCAUUAUUGCUAAAUCAAAAGCUUUUACUUUAGCUAAUACUUUAAAUUGUGGCCUAAAAUUGAUUUACUAACAUCAAUACUUCCUUAUUAGCAAUAUCACAUAGCCAUUGUUGCCACAGCCUGUGAUUUUGUGAAUUUUAUUUUAAUUCUAAGUAACACUUUGUCAAAAUUAUUAUGUUGUAACCAUUGCAGCACACGAGAGAAGAGUGACAUUACUUUUGUGAAGAAAAAAUAAAUAGUCUAUGAUAGAUCUACGGUGAGCUGUCAAAGUGUAGUUUUGCUCAAAUUUUCACUGUUUUUUAGUCGAUUUUGCUGUAAGACACCGAUAGUUUGAAGGUUACAGAAAAAUUAAAGGAUUUAUGAGAGUGGGGAUAUAUUAACUCUCUUUUCGUGUUGUGUGGCAGUGGAGUGUGUAUGUUUUUCUGUCUUUCUCUCUACUGUAUUCUCUACAGGUCAUGUUAACUGAAGAAACACUGCAUUUGGGGUUUGGCUGUGCUUAUCAUCCAAUCCAGGGUGCAGCUGGAUGCUAAGGGGGCGGGCCUUGGUGAAUAAAGGGGUUCAUCUGUGAGUGUCGGUGUGGUGUUAUUUUUUUUGUUCUGCUACUUAUUUUUAGAUGUGUAUCCUGUUGUAUUUUAGCUCACACUUUGUCCUUUUUCCCACAUUUUUGUAUUUCUCUGUUAGACACACCAGGUAAGGGACAAGGUGUAGGACUGGGCGAUAUAUAGAGAGAUUUAAAGAAAUAUCAAUAUAUUUUCAUACAAGAUAUGAGAUGAGAUAAUAUUGUUUAUAUUGAUUGUGCUGUAUUCCAAUUAGCUUAGUCCUUAUUUUGUGACAUUAAAAAAUAGUUACCAUUCAGAUGUACUUUUUCUUCGUUAGGUCAGGCUUUUUAUUUAUUUUUUCUACUUUAACUCUUCCUCAAUUAAUCGAACUAUACUUACAUGUUAAGCUAUUCUCUGUAUAUUGUGCUAAUGUCAAUAUUACUGUCUAAAAUCACACGGGUCCCUAAAAAUAUAAAGAAUAUAGUUUAAAGAUGCAAA